rnacentral:rRNA from 1 species
UACGUAGGUGGCAAGCGUUGUCCGGAAUUAUUGGGCGUAAAGCGCGCGCAGGUGGUUUCUUAAGUCUGAUGUGAAAGCCCACGGCUCAACCGUGGAGGGUCAUUGGAAACUGGGGAACUUGAGUGCAGGAGAGAAGAGUGGAAUUCCACGUGUAGCGGUGAAAUGCGUUGAGAUGUGGAGGAACACCAGUGGCGAAGGCGACUCUUUGGCCUGUAACUGACACUGAGGCGCGAAAGCGUGGGGAGCAAACAGG